rnacentral:rRNA from 1 species
GCGUAGAUAUCAGAAGGAACAUCAAUGGCGAAGGCAGCUUUCUGGACUAAUACUGACACUGAGGUACGAAAGCGUGGGUAGCAAACAGGAUUAGAUACCCUGGUAGUCCACGCCGUAAAACGAUGACAACUAGCCGUUGGGGGGAUUUUGCCCUUUAGUGGCGAAGCUAACGCGUUAAGUUGUCCGCCUGGGGAGUACGGCCGCAAGGUUAAAACUCAAAGGAAUUGACGGGGACCCGCACAAGCGGUGGAGCAUGUGGUUUAAUUCGAUGCAACGCGAAGAACCUUACCUGGUCUUGACAUACACGGAACUUUCCAGAGAUGGAUUGGUGCCUUCGGGAACCGUGAUACAGGUGCUGCAUGGCUGUCGUCAGCUCGUGUCGUGAGAUGUUGGGUUAAGUCCCGUAACGAGCGCAACCCCUAUCCUUAUUUGCCAGCACAUCAUGGUGGGAACUAUAAGGAGACUGCCGGUGAUAAGCCGGAGGAAGGCGGGGACGACGUCAAGUCAUCAUGGCCCUUACGACCAGGGCUACACACGUGCUACAAUGGGAAGAACAAAGAGUUGCGAAGCCGCGAGGUGUAGCUAAUCUCACAAAUCUUUUCGUAGUCCGGAUCGGAGUCUGCAACUCGACUCCGUGAAGUCGGAAUCGCUAGUAAUCGUAGAUCAGAACGCUACGGUGAAUACGUUCCCGGGUCUUGUACACACCGCCCGUCAUACCAUGGGAGUGGGUUGCACCAGAAGUAGC